AGCUAGUUGGUGAGGUAACGGCUCACCAAGGCUACGAUGGGUAGGGGUUCUAAGAGGAUUUACCCCCACACGGGAACUGAGACACGGUCCCGACUCCUACGGGAGGCAGCAGUAAGGAAUAUUGGUCAAUGGACGCAAGUCUGAACCAGCCAUGCCGCGUGCAGGAUGAAGGUCCUACGGAUCGUAAACUGCUUUUGUACGGGAAAAAACCCCUUGUUUCUACAAGGGUUGAUGGUACCGUAAGAAUAAGGAUCGGCUAACUCUGUGCCAGCAGCCGCGGUAAUACGGAGGAUCCGAGCGUUAUCCGGAUUUACUGGGUUUAAAGGGUGCGUAGGUGGAAUGACAAGUCAGUGGUGAAAACCUAUAGCUUAACUAUAGAACUGCCAUUGAUACUGUUAUUCUUGAGUGUAUUUGAUGUAAGUGGAAUGUGUCGUGUAGCGGUGAAAUGCUUAGAUAUGA
rnacentral:rRNA from 1 species